rnacentral:lncRNA from 1 species
GUGUAAACGCUAACAGUAUUUUUAUUUAAAGACAGAAUGCUCAGGACUGGAAGUACAAAAAACAUCAAGAUUUGCUGCUGCAGAGGAAACUGAUACAUCGGGUGGCUUCUGUAUGCCCUGAAAAUAUGAGGCAGCUGCAGGACAACCAUGAAGUGGUACACUGAAUAGGACUCCCUGUGUUCUUGCUUACCACACUAAGAACCAGACCU